UUACUAAAAUUAUUUUAUAUAUAUUUACGCGAAAGGGGGUGAGUUAAACAUAAUCAAAUAUAGGUGUACAUUACUACGUAGCAUAGUAGUAUGAUAGUUAUGUUUCGUAGUGAUAGGCUUACAAGCUUUCUGAUAACUUGAUGUGUGAGAAAUAUAUUAAGUAUAUAGUCGGACUAUAAAAGUUAAGCUUUAUAGUUGUCAUNAAAAAAGUAAGAUUUAUUUCGUUAUAAUUUAAUCAUUAAGCAGUUUUUAUAAUAAUACUAAUAAACUAUUAUUAUGUUAAUUAUCACACGAUAUAAAAUUGCUGCAGAGUAUAAAUAAUGUAAGUAUAAGUAGUAAAAAAUUGUUUUAAAGGAACUCGGCAAGGGAUGUUGCUCAACUGUUUAUCAAAAACAUAACUAUAUGUUAUUAUAUAUAGCGGUUCUGCUCAAUGGUAAUCUAAAUAGCCGCAGUACUCUGACUGUGCAAAGGUAGCAUAAUCAGUUGGCUUUUAAUUAAGGUCUGGAAUGAACGAACGCAUGGGUAAUAACUGUCUUACUAUUAUAGUAGAUUGAAUUUGGUAAGUAAGUGUAAAGACUUACAUAAAUACAAAAGACGAGAAGACCCUAGAAACUUGUUUAUUUAUUUUGUUGGGGCGACAGGAUUACAUGUAAACUAAUCUUAAAGUACAUGACGUUAAUUCAGGUAGAAUAAGUUACUCUAGGGAUAACAGCAUAAUUUUAAAAGUUUGUGACCUCGAUGUUGGACUAGGUAUAUAAUUUUUUAGCAAGAAAUUUGAUGCUCUGUUCGAGCAGAGACUACAUGAUCUGAGUU
rnacentral:rRNA from 1 species